GAGUUUGAUCGUGGCUCAGAUUGAACGCUGGCGGCAGGCCUAACACAUGCAAGUCGAGCGGUAGAGAGAAGCUUGCUUCUCUUGAGAGCGGCGGACGGGUGAGUAAUGCCUAGGAAUCUGCCUGGUAGUGGGGGAUAACGCUCGGAAACGGACGCUAAUACCGCAUACGUCCUACGGGAGAAAGCAGAGGACCUUCGGGCCUUGCGCUAUCAGAUGAGCCUAGGUCGGAUUAGCUAGUUUGGUGAGGUAAUGGCUCACCAAGGCGACGAUCCGUAACUGGUCUGAGAGGAUGAUCAGUCACACUGGAACUGAGACACGGUCCAGACUCCUACGGGAGGCAGCAGUGGGGAAUAUUGGACAAUGGGCGAAAGCCUGAUCCAGCCAUGCCGCGUGUGUGAAGAAGGUCUUCGGAUUGU
rnacentral:rRNA from 1 species